rnacentral:rRNA from 1 species
AUUGAACGCUGGCGGCAUGCCUUACACAUGCAAGUCGAACGGCAGCACGGGAGCAAUCCUGGUGGCGAGUGGCGAACGGGUGAGUAAUAUAUCGGAACGUGCCCAGUCGUGGGGGAUAACGUAGCGAAAGCUACGCUAAUACCGCAUACGAUCUACGGAUGAAAGCGGGGGAUCGCAAGACCUCGGCGCGAUUGGAGCGGCCGAUAUCAGAUUAGCUAGUUGGUGGGGUAAAAGCUCACCAAGGCGACGAUCUGUAGCUGGUCUGAGAGGACGACCAGCCACACUGGAACUGAGACACGGUCCAGACUCCUACGGGAGGCAGCAGUGGGGAAUUUUGGACAAUGGGCGCAAGCCUGAUCCAGCAAUGCCGCGUGCAGGAUGAAGGCCUUCGGGUUGUAAACUGCUUUUGUACGGAACGAAACGGUGAGCUCUAAUAAAGCUUGCUAAUGACGGUACCGUAAGAAUAAGCACCGGCUAACUACGUG